UGAAGUUGCUGCAAAUUUAAAGGAAGCUAUGAUCCCAGAUAUACAAGCAAGCCUGGAGGUGGUUAGGACAUGAAAGUGAGUUUGUAACUAACUCCAUUUACCAUAAUGCAACGCGCAGUUAAGUGAGCUGAGGGGAGCGUGUGUCGCUCUGCUCUGUUCAAACUAUGGCUCAUUGAAGCUGCGGCUCUUCACGGGGGAGAAUCAUAACAGCGGAGCAGCAACGGAGAACAUCACCGCACUGAGCGAUUGGAGGAUCCAGCAUCUUUGAGUCCUGAUCGGAAAUAAUCUCCUGGAUCCAUUCUGGUUAAGGAUUCCUAUAUAUAACAAGCUUAAAAGAGGAGUUAAAACAAACAUGUUACUUUUCAGCGCUGACACGUGUGGAAAACUUCUGCUUUCAUCUGUUCGCACCAGCUGAUGGAUUAAAACACAACAAAACUAUGGAUCGUUUUGAAUGAAAAAGAGGAUUUAUGUUUCCCAGGAUGAGUUGGAUCUGCUCCUGUCUUGCUGCUGCUGUUGGACACUCCAUUCUCUUGGGAUACACGCAUGCUCCAGAGUGGUCAAUAAGAAGAUGUUUACUUUUCUGGAUAUAUGCAACUUAUACAUACUUGGGGAUUUGGACGUACCAUGAGGAAAAAAAGUAUAAGGAAAUAUCCUGGAGUAUAACUGAAAGCUUAUCUUAAUUGGAUGUCCAGUGACUGUUAUGGUCAGUGUGACUCUCCUCAUCAAUCAGGUCCUCUGGCUCUCUCUGAGCUUAAAGAGCAAGGAUGAAGGCCCUGUCAGAGCUGUCUGGCUUGCAUACAUCACUCUCCGCUGGGCUUUUAUCUAGCCAGACUGGACUGCGCUCCAUCCAGACCCGGCUGCCGGCAAGUGCACAGUCCUGAGACCUGUGGCAUUAAUAAAGAUAAUGCUGUUUGGAAUAAUAACAGCCAAUUCAACUCAAUAGAGGAAAGAGAAUGGACAUACAAGUGUCAUGGAAAACAAAAGAAGCCAAGAUGAAAGGCUGAAAGGCUACCCCAGGUGAGCAGGGAAAAGAGGCUGACUAAUGGAAACAUAAUCUCAAUGGUUUUAGAAGGAUGGCACCUAAUAACGAGUUGGACAGCUGCCUUGCAUCCCCUUGAGGCAGAUGUUCGCUCUUGGAACGACAGAUGACAGAGGGAGCUACUUCUUUGACAAUCUAGCUGUCAGGAUCAAGCCAGGAGUCGAACUUGGAAAAAAGCUGUGACACAAACUCAAAGGCAGAGCGGAGAAGAUUCAGCAGCUCAGACACUGUGGAACACAUCUGUCAACAUCUGGAUACACACUCAGUAGAAAAAUCGAUGUAAUGAAUGUACUGAUGCCACAGUUACAUCAACCAUCGACACAUUGUUUGGCUUUCUCAUUUUUUCCUGAAAUGAACUUGGAUAAAUAUUGUUUCUGCGUGUGCAUCUGCUCCUGAUUUUCUGUAUUUUUUCAUACUGUGACAUUUAUUCUUGACAUGGUGUAAACCAACUGCUGGAAAUUUUAAAAGAUAUUAAUCAGAUGGACUUUAAACCUUUAUACUAUUGUUUUCAUAUACAAAGUACUUAAAUUCUGUUCAGUGUCCUAGCAAAAAAAACUUUUAUAGCCAUUGAACUUUUACAACCACAAAUCUCAAAAUAUUGUAAUGGGAUUUCAUAUCAAACCAAAACAAACAAAAGUCGUCCAUAGAUGCAAAAGGAAGAGGAGGCAUGGUUUAAACAGUUUCCCAGGUAGAAAUCUGCAAAGUGAGGCAUAUAUAUGCAUUUUACUUUCUGUUUCAGUUAAACUUUCAAAGUGUUUUUUUAUACCUCUAUCAACUCCCCUCAUCAGAGAGGGACAUUUUUGCAGUAUAGCAGUAUACCUUGAACUUUAUCACACUGAAUGGUGAGUGUCUGUAUAAGUCCAUUUUGAAGUUUACUUAAGGUUCCUAAUUAGAUUUAGGUCUUGACUUUUAUAUUUCAGCUUAUAAAUAUGUUUUCAUCCAAAUGAGGGAUCUAUAGACAUAAUUGAUCUGACUGGAUGUUAAUGGUCUUUGUCCUUCUGAAAGUUAGCCCUGAUUAGCCUCUGCUCUAAUCUCCAUUAUUCUGCAGUCUCUAACAGGUGUUGUUCCAGGAUCGUCUUGUAUGUAGCUCCAUCCAUUUUUGCAUUUACUCUGACCAGGUCCUUGCUAAACAACUGCAAGCCACUGCUGCCAUAGUUUGCCAUAGGGACAGUUCAGUUUCAGUGUUCCACGUUUUGAAGGCGGAUUAUAUCUUUUUUGAAGAUGAUCAGAGCAAAGGAGGAUUAAAAAUGUAUGCAUGCUGCACACAAUGCAUCCUUUAUUUUAAAGUUUACAAUUACUCCUUCUCUGUGUUCCCAAUAAAAUGCAUUGGAAUGUAAAGUUGUGAACAAUUUUGCAGUGCUGUUAACUUUUUAAUGCACUAAAAAAAUUAACUUGUUUGUGAUUAAGGUGCUGCCCAGCACCUGUUUAUUCAGUGGAAUUAAAACUCUUAUCUUCCAGUUACCUUCACAAAGACGCUAUUGUCUCAAGUUUUGAUGAAUGCAAACUGAAAACACUCCCAACAGCAUUUCUUUGUGACACAUUGGCAAACCUUUAAUGUAGGCUGAACAUUUCUCGCAAACUGUUAAUUCUAAUUAUGAUUUAUUGCUCUGCCACUUGUGUUGUGACUGGAGAAACCUGCCAGGAGAAAUAGAAAAGGGUAUUUAAACUGCUUUCUGUUUGUCUUCUCACUGCACCUGAAGAUUUAUCAGACCAAUAAAGUGGAUAUUUUUUUAAUGAUUGUAA